CCCCGGUAAACGGCGGCCGUAACUAUAACGGUCCUAAGGUAGCGAAAUUCCUUGUCGGGUAAGUUCCGACCUGCACGAAUGGCGUAAUGAUGGCCAGGCUGUCUCCACCCGAGACUCAGUGAAAUUGAACUCGCUGUGAAGAUGCAGUGUACCCGCGGCAAGACGGAAAGACCCCGUGAACCUUUACUAUAGCUUGACACUGAACAUUGAGCCUUGAUGUGUAGGAUAGGUGGGAGGCUUUGAAGUGUGGACGCCAGUCUGCAUGGAGCCGACCUUGAAAUACCACCCUUUAAUGUUUGAUGUUCUAACGUGGACCCGUAAUCCGGGUUGCGGACAGUGUCUGGUGGGUAGUUUGACUGGGGCGGUCUCCUCCUAAAGAGUAACGGAGGAGCACGAAGGUUGGCUAAUCCUGGUCGGACAUCAGGAGGUUAGUGCAAUGGCAUAAGCCAGCUUGACUGCGAGCGUGACGGCGCGAGCAGGUGCGAAAGCAGGUCAUAGUGAUCCGGUGGUUCUGAAUGGAAGGGCCAUCGCUCAACGGAUAAAAGGUACUCCGGGGAUAACAGGCUGAUACCGCCCAAGAGUUCAUAUCGACGGCGGUGUUUGGCACCUCGAUGUCGGCUCAUCACAUCCUGGGGCUGAAGUAGGUCCCAAGGGUAUGGCUGUUCGCCAUUUAAAGUGGUACGCGAGCUGGGUUUAGAACGUCGUGAGACAGUUCGGUCCCUAUCUGCCGUGGGCGCUGGAGAACUGAGGGGGGCUGCUCCUAGUACGAGAGGACCGGAGUGGACGCAUCACUGGUGUUCGGGUUGUCAUGCCAAUGGCACUGCCCGGUAGCUAAAUGCGGAAGAGAUAAGUGCUGAAAGCAUCUAAGCACGAAACUUGCCCCGAGAUGAGUUCUCCCUGAGACUUUAGGU
rnacentral:rRNA from 1 species